rnacentral:rRNA from 1 species
AGGACGAACGCUGGCGGCGUGCUUAACACAUGCAAGUGGAGCGACGAACCAGGGCUUGCCCUGGGGCAGAGCCGCGAACGGGUGAGUAACACGUGGGUUACCUGCCUCGAUGACCGGGACAACCCGAGGAAACUCGGGCUAAUACCGGAUGUGCCCGCAAGGGGAAAGGAAGCUUCGGCCUCCGCAUCGAGAUGGGCCCGCGGCCCAUUAGCUUGUUGGUGAGGUAACGGCUCACCAAGGCUUCGAUGGGUAGCUGGUCUGAGAGGACGAUCAGCCACACUGGGACUGAGACACGGCCCAGACUCCUACGGGAGGCAGCAGUGGGGAAUCUUGCGCAAUGCGCGAAAGCGUGACGCAGCAACGCCGCGUGGGGGAAGAAGGCUUUCGGGUUGUAAACCCCUUUCAGUUGGGACGAAGCUUCGCCGGUGAACAGCCGGCCGGAGUGACGGUACCUUCACAAGAAGCACCGGCUAACUACGUGCCAGCAGCCGC